UAAGUAAGCUUUGAUCCAGAGAUUUCCGAAUGGGGAAACCCAGCAUGAGUUAUGUCAUGUUAUCGAUAUGUGAAUACAUAGCAUAUCAGAAGGCACACCCGGAGAACUGAAACAUCUUAGUACCCGGAGGAAGAGAAAGAAAAUUCGAUUCCCUUAGUAGCGGCGAGCGAAACGGGAAGAGCCCAAACCAACAAGCUUGCUUGUUGGGGUUGUAGGACACUCUAUACGGAGUUACAAAGGACGACAUUAGACGAAUCAUCUGGAAAGAUGAAUCAAAGAAGGUAAUAAUCCUGUAGUCGAAAAUGUUGUCUCUCUUGAGUGGAUCCUGAGUACGACGGAGCACGUGAAAUUCCGUCGGAAUCUGGGAGGACCAUCUCCUAAGGCUAAAUACUCUCUAGUGACCGAUAGUGAACCAGUACCGUGAGGGAAAGGUGAAAAGCACCCCGGAAGGGGAGUGAAAUAGAACCUGAAACCGUGUGCUUACAAGUAGUCAGAGCCCGUUAAUGGGUGAUGGCGUGCCUUUUGUAGAAUGAACCGGCGAGUUACGAUUUGAUGCAAGGUUAAGCAGUAAAUGUGGAGCCGUAGCGAAAGCGAGUCUGAAUAGGGCGUUUAGUAUUUGGUCGUAGACCCGAAACCAGGUGAUCUACCCUUGGUCAGGUUGAAGUUCAGGUAACACUGAAUGGAGGACCGAACCGACUUACGUUGAAAAGUGAGCGGAUGAACUGAGGGUAGCGGAGAAAUUCCAAUCGAACCUGGAGAUAGCUGGUUCUCUCCGAAAUAGCUUUAGGGCUAGCCUCAAGUGAUGAUUAUUGGAGGUAGAGCACUGUUUGGACGAGGGGCCCCUCUCGGGUUACCGAAUUCAGACAAACUCCGAAUGCCAAUUAAUUUAACUUGGGAGUC
rnacentral:rRNA from 1 species